rnacentral:lncRNA from 1 species
UACUCUAGUGUUUUGUAUUCAUCAAAAUCCAUUAGAGGGUCAACAAAAUCUAAGUCAAUACACACGUGAUAUAUAUUUUUCUCAAGCAUGGCAACUAUCAAAGCAAAGAGGAUACUAAAGUGCAGUAUGCAUAAACAUAAUGACUUUCUUAGAGCACUAAUACCUCCACUACAAUAUGGUACCGCUUGAAUUUUAGGUGCACUACUCAAGUUCAUAAGUGUUUACUACAGUUUAUUAGAGCCUGAUCCAUCAAAUUUUCAGAAUAUCUCAUAUUGUCUAAAUUUGUCAAGAAUGGUUCGCAUAUAAAGGAGUUAUCAAUCCCAACUAAACAUCCAAAGUACACAGAGUUCCAAAUUAAUGGAGUCAAACCAGCCAUUACCACAUGUCACUGGGUUCAGUCCGACCAACCCUAUUCAUGCUUAUUUUUAUUUUUAAACGCAUAUGACGAUUACAAUUAUCCAACCCCCUUAGGCUCUAGUAAGGUCCAUAUAGCGAGUUUUUGGCUAAUGACUCCUGAUCCAAUCGGCUCAAGGCAUUAGGUGAAACACCCCUCGGGCUUAAUUACUCGAACCAGACUACGCCACGAGGUCAGACUUGUCAUCUCUUUUUUCUAUUAUUACUAUUAUUAUUAUUAUUUAUAUUUUUUUAUUUUUUUAUGCAAUAAAAAGAGAAGGUAAACUGAACCAUAUAAUGUGACUGCAUCGUGACUAUAGGUCAACCAAGGUCGGAACAUAAGGCACUUAGGUGAUCUAGCCGGGGUAUUCAACCUCUAUCUUUAUGUGAAAACUAAAUCAUGAACCUUAUAGUAUGGACAAGGAUACUCGUACUUCUUUUACAGAUACGGCUUAAUAAAAAUGCAUUAAACAAAUGUGAACUCUUGAGGCCUUCUUAUAAUCAUUAAGUACAUAUGCGGAGAUCUAAUAAUAGGUCUCUGAUCAGUCAUAGUAUGCAUGUGUUCCUUGCCUUAAUAGUUGCACAAACUCAAUA